rnacentral:rRNA from 1 species
GGUAGCGAAAUUCCUUGUCGGGUAAGUUCCGACCCGCACGAAAGGUGUAACGAUUUGGGCACUGUCUCAACGAGGGACCCGGUGAAAUUGAAGUACCUGUGAAGAUGCAGGUUACCCGCGACUGGACAGAAAGACCCCAUGGAGCUUUACUGUAACCUGACAUUGGGUUCUGAUACAUCACGUACAGGAUAGGUGGGAGGCAUGGAAGCGAGGACGCUAGUCUUCGUGGAGCCGCCGUUGGGAUACCACCCUUGAUGUAUCGGAAUUCUAACCGUAGGAGUAACGAAACUCGGGACAGUGUCAGGCGGGCAGUUUGACUGGGGCGGUCGCCUCCCAAAGAGUAACGGAGGCGCCCAAAGGUUCCCUCAGCGCGGCCGGAAAUCGCGCGAAGAGUGUAAAGGCAGAAGGGAGCUUGACUGAGAGCCAAACACGGCAAUCAGGUACGAAAGUAGGGCUUAGUGAUCCGGUGGCAUCCAAGUGGAAGGGCCAUCGCUCAACGGAUAAAAGCUACCCUGGGGAUAACAGGCUAAUCUCUCCCAAGAGUCCAUAUCGACGGGGAGGUUUGGCACCUCGAUGUCGGCUCAUCACAUCCUGGGGCUGAAGUCGGUCCCAAGGGUUGGGCUGUUCGCCCAUUAAAGUGGUACGCGAGCUGGGUUCAGAACGUCGUGAGACAGUUCGGUCCCUAUCCAUCGCGGGCGCAAGAGAUUUGAAGGGGGCUGCUCCUAGUACGAGAGGACCGGAGUGGACGAACCAAUGGUGUACCAAUUAUCUCGCCAGAGGUAUAGUUGGGUAGCUACGUUCGGAAAGGAUAAACGCUGAAAGCAUCUAAGCGUGAAACCAGCCUUAAGAUGAGAUCUCUCAUAGAGCAAUCUAGUAAGACACCUUGGAGAAGACGAGGUUGAUAGGUCGGGAGUGUAAGUACAGUAAUGUAUUCAGCGGACCGAUACUAAUAUGUCGAGGGCUUGACUUU